GUAGAAAACACAAAGUAAGAGAGAAAGAAAAGGAAAAUGAAUGCAUUCAUGUGUAUGUGCUGGAAAGAACAAAAUUGUGUGUGUGAGAGAGAGAGAGAGAGAGAGACCAACUCUAUGUGCUGGAAUCGUGAAUGAAAGCAAGGGGAAAGCUUGGGGAAAAGUGAAGAAUUGAAGAAAGACUCAAGAAAUUGUGAAGAAACUCAUCAAAUUGAAAGUUUUAGGGUCAACUACAAGGGCGAACCAGGCAUUUGAACGCUGUGAUCAGGCACAUGAUCAGGCUUAGAGGCAUCUGCCUGGAAUUUAUUUUUGUCAGCCAACUUGUGUGUCUCCUGUGGAAGUUCCGGAUAUGUCAAGUGGUUUUGGUUAUGUGAUUAAAAUUUAAGUUUUGUUUUCUUGUUUGGUUAAACAAGUCUUUGUUUAUUUUGUAAAUAGGGCUAAGUCCCUUUUUGUCUAGUUUG